AAAAAGAUAGCGAAGUUUAGAUUUUUCCUAAACUGCUAGCUACACACUUUUUCCCCUUUAAAGUUUUCAUUUCCUUCACAUUAUCAGGUCAUGUCUGAUUUUAGGGUUUUGCGGCCAUGGGUCAUGCUUUGCAUGAACGGGUUUCCCGCUGAGGAUAGAAAUUUGGUUUCCCAAAAAUUUGAACCAAACACUAAUUGACAAAGUUGUGAAGGGAGAUGAGAUGGAAUGCAUGAAAGUGAAGGUAGCAUUUUGGAAUUUUGAUAAAAGACUAUGAGAACUUAUCACUUGGGUGAGACUAUCUUAUGGAGAGCUUGAAAAGAUCCAACACCAAAGAGAUGAGGGAAACAUUAGAAAACACUUUUACAUUUAUGAGUUUGUUUAUUAUAUUUUGAAUUUCAUUUUUAUUUUAAUUUCUUUUUGUAAAGGCCUUUCUCUUGGUAAUGGUUUUGAGAGGUUCUAAGUGCCUACUCAAACUUCUAUUUUUCUGUUAAUUUCAUUUAUUAAUUUUUGUUAGAUAUUGUGAAGGUGUGAUGGGAGACUAUUGAGUGUCCAACAAAAUUAUCACGUAGGAACGCGUCUAGUUUUUUUAUUUUACUUUCUUUAA